UGGGCAACAAAAGUAAAUCUCUGUCUCACCAAAAAAAAAAAAAAAAAAAUCUACAUACAGCCCGUAGCUUUAUUUAACAGGAAUAUGCCAAUGUAAAUUUCUUGGUUUUGACACAUGUACCAUAGUUAUGUAUAAUGUUAACAAUGAGGGUAACUGAGUAAGGGUGUAUAGGAACUCUGCACUGUCUGUAUAACUUUUCUAUUUGAAAAUAAUUCCAAAAUAAGAAGGCUUUAAAAAAAAACAAAAAUUUAAUAUCGAUUUUUGCAAGUUGUGUUUAUAUCAGUUAUACUUGUUCCACUUUUCAAAGGGAGGAGAUAUAUUUUUAUCUGUCUAAAAAAAGACUUUACAAAGCCUUUUUUCUUCUUUUGAGUGCUAUAGAAUCUGACAGUGACACCAGAAUGACAAGUCAGAAGGGAAAGUGAAGGAUUCAGCCUUUACAAGGCGUGACUUCUUAAUCCUGUAUUGACAUGGAAUGAUACUCUAGUCAUCUUGGCUUGAUCUAGUGUGCCUCAUUGUCCUGAUCAGAAAAAUCAGAAACUUUGGGGGACCUGAAACAUCAUCUCUCUGGACUUGUUGCAAAGAUGGAAGGUAACACCCUGGAGAUGGUAGAGCAUUGAGACGAGAAGAGUGUGGGUCAUUGAAGACUUCAUGAAACACAGCAGCCACACACCAGCUCUGGACUGCCCCACCCUGACUUUGACAUUAGAGAAGUAAACUUCAUUUUCUUGAGCUACUGUGAUUUGAAAUCUUUGUUACCUACAGCUGGGGCUAAUCCUUUCUGAUACACAUGGCCACCAGCCAUACUAUGAGAAAGCCCCAGGUCAAGAGUGAGGAUCUGGGCUAUUCAAGAUGUAAGACAGGCAUGGCAAAUCUCACCCAUCAUUGACUCCCAGCUCACAUCCUCUGUCCACCUGAACCACAUUUAUAACAUGCUUAGUCCAACUUUUCCAUUUCCUUAGUCAAUUUUCUUUCUACUUUCUGUUAGGGCCAUUUCAUAAGAUGUUUCAAGUUUGUUGUUGUUGUUGUUUGUUUGUUUGUUUUUUAGCACAGUAGAAAUAGCAGUAGUUACUAAAUAGAAACAACACAAAUAGCAGAGAAUCUCAUAUGUAUGAAUGUCAUUAUGCAUGAAGUAAAAAAGAAACUUGAUAAGAAUCAAGUUUCGAAAAAGAAACCAUAAAAGGCAUUACUGUUCACUCAUAUAUGGCUUCCUUCCACUUUCUCUGGGGGUAAAUGGCACUCCCUGUGCAAGUCUCUUUUUAUGGUAGACAUGCAUAUCUGUUAUUUCUGUUUUAGGAUAUAGUGUGUCUCUCUAGGUCACAAAAGGCCAUUGUUGAUCAAGUUAUGAAGAGAAGAGUAUUAAUACCUCAUGAGCAUUUUUCAGUACACAGCACUUUUCUGUCAUCUUUCCAGAAAAAGAGUUGUGUGUACUAAUUGGAAAAGUAGGUUUCCAAUACAACAUUCAAUACUCUGUACUCAGUCUUGUUUCGUAUAAGGAAACUAUAGUGAGCAAAUAUAGCCACAAUACAUCCAUCCCACAAAUUGGGCACUGGUUGAGUUUUUCACAGUAAUUUGUUAGGUUAUAUUAAGAACGUAAGGAAGUCAGUACAUAAAAAUAAUAAUCAUCUGUGGAGUUUAAGAGCCUAACAAAUUGCAGCCCUCUUUUCUGCCCAAGUUCAGGACCAAUUGAGAAGUCCAACCAGUGGAGAAGGAAAUAAUCAACUUUGUUACUAAUAAGAUGAUUAAGGAGCAUGGCUUUAAAUCCAGCUCCAAAUGGACUUCCUAAUGCAGUCCCAUUGACUUGAACUUAACUAUGGGCUCCCCUGUUUCUGGGGGCAGUGCUUACCCCAUAAGCUUCUUUCAUAGUGGAGAGCAAACCAGAAUGGACCCUUUAAGUGGGCAGGCAAAUUUGGAAGAGAAAUAACCCAAAAAAUCCUGAGCCAAGCAUGUUCAUUUCCUUCUACCAAAUUCACUAAUUAGAGGUGUCACACCUUUUUCUCUGGUGAGAGGUUGUUACAGAGGUGAGGCAAUGGAGAGAAGUUAGACUUGUCCUCAGGUCCUUUUCCUCCUGUAGCAGACCCUGUCCCUGCCCCACCACUAUCCACCAGCUUUAAUUUUGCCAAUUAAAGCUGCCUGUCACCAUCUUUUUGCCCGAAGGCCUUCUUCAAAGCCGUGGAAGCAGCAUUCCUCAACCAAUGACUGACCCAAGUUGGUAAAUAAAUACCCCAACUCCCUUGCCCUAGUGGCUAUAGAACUCUGAGGUGCAUGUUCUAUACUGUUUCCCAGAGCUUUCUGGCAAAACUAAGCCCCAGACACACACAAUGAUAGCCAGCUCAAUAAUGCACCCUUCCUUGGCUUCCUUCCUUUACCUGUCUCAUCUUCCCACUUGCCUAGUGUGUCCUGGAAUCACCACUCAAGUAUUUACUGAGAGUAAAUCCUUGCUCUCAAGUACUUACUGAGAGUAAAUCCUUGCUCUCAAGUACUUAUCUCAAGGUCUUCUUUUAGAUCAGGGAUCAGCAGAUUUUUUCUAGAAAGAGCCAGAUAUUAAUGUUUUAGGCAUUGCAACUGCACAACUCUAGCAUUGCAAUGUGAAAGCAGUCAUAGACAAUAUGUAAAGAAAUGGGCAUGGACUGUGUUCCAACAAAACUGUAUUUACAAAAUCAGGUGGUAGGCUGGAUUUGGUAUCUGAGCCAGGCCAUAGUGUGCUGACCCUUAUUCUAGAGGAAUUUGAGAUAAAUCAUUCCCUGAAUUUGUAUUUUUAUAGCUGUGUAACAAAUUAUCACAAACUUGGCAGCUUAAAACAACACAAAUUUAUUAUCUCACAGUUUCCAUGGGUCAGGAGUCCAAGCACUAUAUAACUGGGUUCUAUGUUCAGGGUCUCACAAGGUUGAAAUAAAGCUUCCAGCUGAGCCACGUUCUCAUCUAAGGCUCAGAGUCGUCUUGUAACUUCACACAGUUCUUGGCAGAAUUUAGCUCCUUGCAGUUGUAGGACUCAGAUCCCAGUCUUCUUGCUAGCUGUCAGCCAGGGACCAUUUUCAGCUCCUAAAGGCCACCAUUCCCUGACACACAGCUCUCUCUGCAACAUUACAAUUUGCUUUUUUUUUUCUUUUGAAAAAGAUUUAUAGACAAAAAAGGGAAGUGAGGC
rnacentral:lncRNA from 1 species